GCGAACUGCAUUUUUCAUCCGCUCCACAAGGCGGCAGAAGCGCCUUUCAGAGACGUCGAAUCCCCGACUGAUCAGAAGACGUAGAAACCUGGGAAGAAAACACAACAGUUCGCGUCAAUAGUAAGAGAGGUGUUGAACAGAAGCAGAGCCCUGGAGCGUGAGGACAGACAUUGACCGCAAUGAAGGACGUGUGCUGAAGGACGGGACUCAUUUUCAAUGAUGCCAACCUUCCUUUUUCGUGUUCAGACUGAAGUACAUUAAAGUGGAUCUGUUUUGUCUUUUGCGAAAGGAAGAAGACAAGCGUCAAGUGAUUUCCAGGGGAUGCUAUGACCUCGUCCAGGACAGCUGAAAGCAGCACAUCAUGCACAAGCUGUGGAAUCGUUUGAAUCUUCUCUGUCGCAGAGCCGUGGGACAUUCUACUGCAGUUCUCUUUGAGACCACAGGAGGAUGCUGCGACCUCCGCGUCACAGUGACGGGACAGUGGCACUAAAUUAACUCUAGACUGAGAAAUCAAUCUGAAUCUACCGAGGUUGCGUAUGCGUGUUCUUAUUUUUUUCAUUUUUGUAUUUUAUUUUAUUUUAUUUCAUUUUAUUUAUUUAUUUUUUUCGGAUGAGAGAUCAUUUGAAUGUGCAAACGUUUCGAAUUUGGUCACCAGCAGUCUAAAUUCUGUUGUUCUACAGGCAUGAUUAAGUGUCCACGGGCAAUGUUUCAAAUAACCGCCCGGCUCAAAGCACAAAUUAAAUGGAAAAAGACAUAAAAACGGUGAA